GAUGAACGCUGGCGGCGUGCCUAAUACAUGCAAGUCGAGCGAACAGACGAGGAGCUUGUUCCUCUGCCGUUAGCGGCGGACGGGUGAGUAACACGUGGAUAACCUACCUAUAAGACUGGGAUAACUUCGGGAAACCGGAGCUAAUACCGGAUAAUAUAUUGAACCGCAUGGUUCAAUAGUGAAAGACGGUUUUGCUGUCACUUAUAGAUGGAUCCGCGCCGCAUUAGCUAGUUGGUAAGGUAACGGCUUACCAAGGCAACGAUGCGUAGCCGACCUGAGAGAGUGAUCGCCCUCACGGGAACUGUGACACGGGCCAGACUCCUACGGGGGGCAGCGGGAGGGAGUAUGCCGAAAUGGGCGAAAGCCUGACGGAGCAACGCCGCGUGUGUGAUGAGGGUCUGCGGCUCUUAAAACUCUGUUAUAGGGAAGAACAAAUGUGGAAGUAACUGUGCACGUCUUGACGGUACCUAAUCAGAAAGCCACGGCUAACUACGUG
rnacentral:rRNA from 1 species